rnacentral:lncRNA from 1 species
CCGCAGCGGUGCUGCUGGGCUUAACCCGCGAUUUUUGGCCAAUUGGCCAGUCCUUUUGCUCCGACUUUGCCAUGGGGGUGUUUAAAAUUGAAUUUCAAGCAAAUGGAGGAAUUUUUACCUCUUUUAGUGGUCAGAAGUAGCUCCAGUGACGAGUGGCGACGACUUUCUUUCCCGGCAGCUGGGUCUUCUUCUCCGGCGAGGGUAUUUGGCGGCUAGGGUUAGGGUUUGGUAUGAAUAGGGUUAUUUAUAUCCGUCCCAUUUAAUCUAUACCAUCCACCAUGUUUGAUCUGGACUGUCCGAUCGUGAUUAAAUAGAGAGUGAAUUUGGACAGUUCAUCACAAUCUAAUUUGGAUCGUUCAUUAUGAUCUAAUCUGGAUCGUCUGAUCACGUUUAAAUCUGACUGUCUGAUCGCAUUUGAGGAGGGAACGCAUCCAGGUCGUUCGUGCGCGCAGGAACAGAUCUUAGACGUUCGAUCAUGGGCACGCAGAUCACCCGUGUGGCCUCUCGCGUGGCACCGCAUUAGCGUCCGUUGUCACGCGACGUGUUCUGGCUCGCCGGGGCUGCUGACUAGGCAUCCUACGUAGCACAAGUUUUUUAUGUUUUAU